AGCAGCCGCGGUAAUUCCAGCUCCAAUAGCGUAUAUUAAAGUUGUUGCAGUUAAAAAGCUCGUAGUUGAAUUUCGGGAUUUGUCAGUUGGUCGGGCUUCACUGUCCGUACUGGCUUGAUGGAUUCUUACCUUCUGAAUAACCAGCAUGCUAUUAAGUUAGUGCGUUGGGGAAGCAGAUCUAUUACCUUGAAAAAUUAGAGUGCUUAAAGCGGGCUUGUGCUUGAAUAGAUUAGCAUGGAAUAAUAAAAUAGGACGGCAUGGUUCUAUUUUGUUGGUUUCUAGGAUCACCGUAAUGAUUAAUAGGGAUAGUUGGGGGCAUUAGUAUUCAAUUGUCAGAGGUGAAAUUCUUGGAUUUAUUGAAGACUAACUUCUGCGAAAGCAUUUGCCAAGGAUGUUUUCAUUAAUCAAGAACGAAAGUUAGGGGAUCGAAGACGAUCAGAUACCG
rnacentral:rRNA from 1 species